rnacentral:lncRNA from 1 species
GUGAAGAUAGAAGAGCAUUAAAAAAUAAAUGGAAGGUUGUGAGAGUGUUUGGUUUCGUAGGCAGUUUGUGGUUUCCGCGCCUCGGCCACCUGUCAGGUGAAUCGACACGAACACGCCAGCAACAAUGCACACAUUCGCCAACAGGAAAGAAAAAACCGGGAAAAUCCAAAGGACAAUGUGUGGAAAACUCGGGAGAAACUUUUCGGAGCUGGAUAGGAAGACAGGAAAGAAGCGAAUGAAACUUCAAAACUCCCGUUCUUGAACCUAAACUUAUACACACGCGUGAAAUCUAAUCAAGUCAAGUUGAAAGAACUCCGUCUCUUUCUCGCCCCUUGAAAGAAAACGUCACAGAAAAAGAAAACGGUCGAAAUUCCUCGAAAUUCGCGAGGAACUACACUGUUGCGUAUGUGAAAACGCGGGGCGCAUGUUCAAAAUGGCCGAUAGCGGUGUCUUAGGUAUUGGCGUGACGUUGCCACAUGUCGGAAAAUCUCUCUGGAAAACUGGGAAGAUUUUCAUCUGGGAACUAUUAUUCAAUGAUAUCAAAAGCCCAUCAACUGAAAUUUCUGCACUCAGCAAUAACAAAAACAAAAGGAAAAAGAAUAAAUCAAGUAUUGGUCAUGGAUAGUAACAAAAUCAUUGAGAAAUAUAUUUUUUGAAAUAUCGUGGUUUGGUUUGAAAGAAAAUAGAAGGAAGCACGACAUAUUACAUCGUUGUUGUAAUACUUUUAAUAAUGUUUUGUGGCAUAAUUAGUCCAGAAAAGUUCGAUUAAAAAAUGGAGAUUU